AACGAACGCUGGCGGCAUGCCUAACACAUGCAAGUCGAACGAGACCUUCGGGUCUAGUGGCGCACGGGUGCGUAACGCGUGGGAACCUGCCCUUAGGUUCGGAAUAACUCCCCGAAAGGGGUGCUAAUACCGGAUAAUGUCUUCGGACCAAAGAUUUAUCGCCUUUGGAUGGGCCCGCGUUGGAUUAGCCAGUUGGUAGGGUAAAAGCCUACCAAGGCGACGAUCCAUAGCUGGUCUGAGAGGAUGAUCAGCCACACUGGGACUGAGACACGGCCCAGACUCCUACGGGAGGCAGCAGUGGGGAAUAUUGGACGAUGGGCGAAAGCCUGAUACAGCAAUGCCGGGUGAGUGAUGAAGGCCUUAGGGUUGUAAAGCUCUUUUACCCGGGAUGAUAAUGACAGUACUGGGAGAAUAAGCUCCGGCUAACUCCGUG
rnacentral:rRNA from 1 species